ensembl:lncRNA
GCACAAUAACGGCUUAGCAGCCGCACACAAGCCUUAGUUCACCGUGCGCAAUAGUCACAGUGGAAUAGUCACAGUGGAACACAUGGAUGUCAUGGAAGGAGAUUCAAAUUUUGAUGCUGUGAAAUUAUAGAAAAAUCCAAGAUGCCCUCUAAAUCAACCAAGGAGAGGUCAAGGACAUAUAUAAACAAGAUCCUAUAAGAUACCAGGAGUAUCUUAAGAAACAAAAAGAUACCUCAAAACAAAAAUGGUAUGGCCUCCGAGGACACCCAAGACCAACUGGAUGAGGCUAUUAAAAAGGCAGACCGGCUUUCUGAGGAGCUCAACCAAGAGAAGGACCCACAAACCCAACUGGACGAGGCCAUUAACGAGGCAAAAAGGCUGACUGAGGAGCUCAACCCAGAACGGGCAAUGUAACAAGUCGUACAUUACCGCUCCAAGAGCCAGUACAUCAAGAGCCAGACUAGUGCAAAAAAUGUUGGGCCGGUCACUGAGGAGGAAGAAUCAGGACCUGAGCCCUAGGACCAUGCCUCAGGACUACCUGACAUGAUGACUCCUUGCUGUUCCCAGUCCACCUGGCCGUGCUGCUGCUCCAGUUUCAACUGUUCUGCCUGUGAUUAUUAUUAUUUGACCAUGCUGGUCAUUUAUGAACAUUUGAACAUCUUGGCCAUGUUUUGUUAUAAUCGUGCCAGAAGAGGACUGGCCACCCCACAUAGCCUGGUUCCUCUCUAGGUUUCUUCCUAGGUUUUGGCCUUUCUAGGGAGUUUUUCCUAGCCACCGUGCUUCUACACCUGCAUUGCUGUUUGGGGUUUUAGGCUGGGUUUCUGUACAGCACUUUGAGAUAUCAGCUGAUGUACGAAGGGCUAUAUAAAUACAUUUGAUUUGAUUUGAAUGAAUGUCACUCUGAACUAUCCACUCUAACCACGACAGAGAAGGCGGACAAACUCUCCAACUUUUCAACAGAGACCCUGACGACACUGAGUGUAAAUAUAUAUAUAUAUAUUGAUUGCAAUUGUUCCCGAAUGAGUGAGCAUUCAUGUGCAAAGGAUUAGCAUUUCAAUUGUUAUAAUUAUCAACUGUGUGUUGUCUUAUCUCAGUCGACCCCCACUUCCCACUAGGGCACAUUCCCCUAUCAUUUCUUGUAACCAUAUCUACUGUUUGUUUAUGCAUUUCUGUGAAUUACUUAGUUAGUAAAUAAAUAAUUUAAGACAAUUGAUGUAUGGAUGACUCAUAGUGAAGACUGGGUUCGUGCAGAUAACCAAC